AUUGAACGCUGGCGGCAUGCCUUACACAUGCAAGUCGAACGGUAACGGGCCUUCGGGUGCCGACGAGUGGCGAACGGGUGAGUAAUACAUCGGAACGUUCCCGAUCGUGGGGGAUAACGAGGCGAAAGCUUUGCUAAUACCGCAUACGAUCUACGGAUGAAAGCAGGGGACCGCAAGGCCUUGCGCGGACGGAGCGGCCGAUGGCAGAUUAGGUAGUUGGUGGGAUAAAAGCUUACCAAGCCGACGAUCUGUAGCUGGUCUGAGAGGAUGAUCAGCCACACUGGGACUGAGACACGGCCCAGACUCCUACGGGAGGCAGCAGUGGGGAAUUUUGGACAAUGGGCGCAAGCCUGAUCCAGCCAUGCCGCGUGCAGGAUGAAGGCCUUCGGGUUGUAAACUGCUUUUGUACGGAACGAAAAGCCUUCUUUUAAUACAGGAGGGUCAUGACGGUACCGUAAGAAUAAGCACCGGCUAACUACGUG
rnacentral:rRNA from 1 species